rnacentral:rRNA from 1 species
CACGGGGCCCCCCUCCAUGCCCUACCUAUUAGUGAAGAUCCGUUAGGCAGACAUAGUUGCGCAGGCACUUUGAUGACUCUAGAGGACCUUGGGCCAAUCGCACAUCCCCGUGACGGCGACGGUGCAUUCAGAUGUCUGCCCUAUCAACUUUCGAUGGACUUUCUGCGCCUACCAUGGUGACCACAGGUAAUGGGGAAUCAGGGUUCGAUUCCGGAGAGGGAGCUUGAGAAACAGCUACCACAUCCAAGGAAGGCAGCAGGCGCACAAAUUACCCACUCCCGACACGGGGAGGUAGUGAAG